UUAAUGGUGGUUCGUGACUAUCCCACCAUAAUAAAAAACUAGGAGGCC
rnacentral:ncRNA from 1 species